GACAGAGGGUGCAAGCGUUGUUCGGAAUUACUGGGCGUAAAGGGCGUGUAGGCGGUGGAGUGUGUCUGAUGUGAAAUCCCUCGGCUUAACCGGGGAACUGCAUCGGAAACUACUCUGCUGGAGUGCGAGAGAGGAAGGCGGAAUUCCCAGUGUAGAGGUGAAAUUCGUAGAUACUGGGAGGAACACCGGAGGCGAAGGCGGCCUUCUGGCUCGUAACUGACGCUGAGACGCGAAAGCGUGGGUAGCAAACAGGAUUAGAUACCCUGGUAGUCCACGCUGUAAACGAUGAUCACUAGGUAUUGGGAGUAUUGACCCUUCCAGUGCCGUAGCUAACGCAUUAAGUGAUCCGCCUGGGGAGUACGGUCGCAAGACUAAA
rnacentral:rRNA from 1 species